UUCUCUGAUGUUAGCGGCGGACGGGUGAGUAACACGUGGAUAACCUACCUAUAAGACUGGGAUAACUUCGGGAAACCGGAGCUAAUACCGGAUAGUAUUUUGAACCGCAUGGUUCAAAAGUGAAAGACGGUCUUGCUGUCACUUAUAGAUGGAUCCGCGCUGCAUUAGCUAGUUGGUAAGGUAACGGCUUACCAAGGCAACGAUGCAUAGCCGACCUGAGAGGGUGAUCGGCCACACUGGAACUGAGACACGGUCCAGACUCCUACGGGAGGCAGCAGUAGGGAAUCUUCCGCAAUGGGCGAAAGCCUGACGGAGCAACGCCGCGUGAGUGAUGAAGGUCUUCGGAUCGUAAAACUCUGUUAUUAGGGAAGAACAUAUGUGUAAGUAACUGUGCACAUCUUGACGGCACCUAACCAGAAAGCCACGGCUAACUACGUGCCAGCAGCCGCGGUAAUACGUAGGUGGCAAGCGUUAUCCGGAAUUAUUGGGCGUAAAGCGCGCGUAGGCGGUUUUUUAAGUCUGAUGUGAAAGCCCACGGCUCAACCGUGGAGGGUCAUUGGAAACUGGAAAACUUGAGUGCAGAAGAGGAAAGUGGAAUUCCAUGUGUAGCGGUGAAAUGCGCAGAGAUAUGGAGGAACACCAGUGGCGAAGGCGACUUUCUGGUCUG
rnacentral:rRNA from 1 species